UUUAACUUAUGUCUGUACUCAGAUAUUGUUGCCUCCGCUGACUCGUCUAUGAUCGAGCACUUGUAUUCGAGCCCUCGAGGCCCCUGGCUUGUAUUAUGAUGCUUGUAUGACUCAUUUUAUUUUUAGUGUUGUGUUGUGAUAUCUUUCCGUGAGUCCCUGAUCUUGUUCGUACACGUUUGCGUGCAUGAUUAGUGUACGAUUGAAUCGGGGGCGUCACACGUGUCUUGUAGAGGAGAUGGUCAGUAGGGCAAAGAUAUAUAUGGUGAUGAAGCUUGUCAUAGGUGGCAAAAUUUUCCACAAAAUUGUGAGUUGUUCAUACCUUGGUGAACAUUGUGGAUUAUGCUUCCCACUGUGCCUAUGUGCUUAAUUUGUUCUGGUAUGAAAGAGCAGAUGUGAGAAAAUGUUUCCAACAGUUGUUCAACACUGUUGACCGCUGCCAUAGCAGAGGUGUCUAUCACCAUGAUUUGAAGGUAGUGUGUACUGAUAUACUAUCCAGUAUGCAUCCCUGUACAAAUAUAUAUUCAGGUCAAUCAUUCUUCUCUUCUUCCAGAUUUUUCCCUCCUUUCUUCCAAUCCCCUGCUCCCAGAGCUUCUCAUCUUUGUUUGUGCAGGUUUUGUUUCUCUGUGCCUACAAAGUGUUUGAUGAAAAUCCAAAAAGGCUAACGGCAUAGUAUUAGUCUAUAUAUUGGACUACAAUGUACAGAUGUGAGGAAUUGAGUUUGAACUACAUGUUUUCUUUCCAGGUACGCAACAAGUUGAUGAGUUUCCAAUUCAUUGUUGUUCCUAAAGAUAUGAAAGUGCAGCCAUGGUUUUUCCUCCCAGCUAAUGCGUCCUACUCUUUUUGUAGCGAGCAUCAAUCUUUGUUGUUGCUGCUAUCACUUUUUGAGAACCAAAGAAAUACUGCCUUCAGCUCAAUUACCUCGAGACCGCUGCUGAUGCCCCUGUGAUCGACUAUGUCACCGACGACACAUCUUCCGUUUCAGUGGAGCUUCCAGGCAAGCCCCUCCUUUGAUCAUCCCGAUAUCGCCCAUUUCAUUCUCUCUCUUGCUUGCAUUAGAUUUUGCUACUGUAAUUGAUUGCUCCUAUUCUGAUGCAUAGCCUGCUUUUGUACCUACUAUUGUUACCUAUCUGCUUGUCCUAAUCUGUUUAGUUUAGGUUGGUUAGUGAUCCAUCAGUGACCCCUACCUUGUCCUUGUUGCCCUGCUUCAUCAUCGACGACUCGAUCAAUGUGAUUAACGACCAGAGACCAACACAUCACUUCACCCCCUUGGUUGUACGACUUUGCAUAGUUACUAUCGAGUGCCGAGGGUGAUACCUCGUAACGCACUCCUGAUGAUAACUCUGUAGUGUAGCUAUCCGGUCGUGGUCAUCGAGGGUGAUUCCUCCUUCACCACUUCCUAUAUGACUCUGUUGUGCAACCCCUCAAGUGUGAACCUCGAGGGUGAUUCCUCCUACAUUCACCUUGAUGAUUACAUCGAGUGGAAUCCAUCGAGGGUGAUUCCUCGGGGUUUCCCCCUUGACGUUUGGACACACGGUUACCUUGACUUUACUUGAGACCUUUGCGAAAGUCGGGCAGGCCCGGAGAGCACCCACAAGAUAUUUACAUGGCACGGCCGAGCAUUCUGGGCCCUUGCCGUAAGUCCAGGAGAUGGGGCGACGGGUUCACAUCUGUCGCGAGUCUCGGCUCGUCUCUGCAAGCUACUAAUACACUAAUGGUUUGGGUAUUUGUUCUGAGUUGGCCUCUGGCCUUUACGCACUAACCACCAUGUGGGAAUAGUUAUGGGCCUCGACGUCGUGGUAUCAGCCUAAGCUUUGUCAGAUGUCCAGUUCAGCAGUGCGGCACGGCUGGACCGGCACCAUCCUGUAGUGGUGGAGCCUGGUCCGCCCUGCUCGCCACGACCCAGAGUGCAACGGGCGAUGGUCCCAAGACCCCGAAGUGCUUAGGAUGUAGACCGGCGGGGACCUCUCUGCUGAGCCUAGGUAGGGCUGCGACAUGUUGAUCUUCCGUGGCCGGGCAUUGACUCAGAAAAUUGUGUCCGACUAGAGUAAUCAAGCGUGUUGGGUAACAUGGUGCACCCCUGCAGGGAAGAUUAUAUGUUAAUAGCUGUGUCCACGGUAACGAACGUUUAGACUUGUAUCCUGAUCUAUUAUAACUAGAAAUGGAUACUUGAGAUAUGUGGCUCUGGGAUUGCUUUCUCGCAGGGAGUCGAGGACGGAUCUCUGGGCAUUAAUGUUACAACAUGUUUGUUAAAUAUAAACUUCUAUUCUAUACUCUUCUAAAUGCUGCAAGAUGCUCGGAGCUACUUGAAGAUGCUAGUCUUUGAUAGGCUAGGCCUUCCCCCUCUAUUCUGGCAUUCUGCAGUUCAGUCCACAGAUACAACCCUUCCAUUUGAUACCAAUGCAUACUUAGUAUAGAUCUGAUGCUUGCUAGUACUUUGGAUGAGUAUUCACGGUUGCUUUGCUACCCCCUUUCCCCCCUUCUUUCUUCUUUUCGGUUGUUGCAACCAGAUGGUGGAUCCCAGGAGCCAGAUGCUACCCCGACAGCUACUACUACUACUCCCCAGAGGGUGCCUACUACUACGUGGAGACCGCUGAGGGAGUCCUGGACUAGGGGGUCCUCGGGCGUCCGUGCUAUGUGACAUGGGCCGGACUGAUGGGCCAUGAAGAUACGAGAUAGAAGAACCUUCCCCGGGUCCGGAUGGGACUCCCCUUUGCGUGGAUGGCAAGAUUGGCGUUCGGAUCAUGUAUUUUCCUUCUUCUGUAACCGACU